CUCCUUUCAGUAUCACACCUGGAGAGUUUCCAGUACUCUACCAGUCACGACUACAGGAUGGAGAGUCAAGCAGAGGCCUAAUCAUUCCAUUCCUAGCUUGGGCAGUGGCUGGUGAGUGGAAGGCAAUCUGCUACAAGU